GACGAACGCUGGCGGCGUGCUUAACACAUGCAAGUCGAACGGUAAGGCCCUUCGGGGUAUACGAGUGGCGAACGGGUGAGUAACACGUGGGUGAUCUGCCCUGCACUUCGGGAUAAGCCUGGGAAACUGGGUCUAAUACCGGAUAGGACCACUGCCUGCAUGGGUGGUGGUGGAAAGCUUUUGCGGUGUGGGAUGGGCCCGCGGCCUAUCAGCUUGUUGGGGGGGUGAUGGCCUACCAAGGCGACGACGGGUAGCCGGCCGGAGAGGGUGACCGGCCACACUGGGACUGAGAUACGGCCCAGACGCCUACGGGAGGCAGCAGUGGGGAAUAUUGCACAAUGGGCGCAAGCCUGAUGCAGCGACGCCGCGUGAGGGAUGACGGCCUUCGGGUUGUAAACCUCUUUCAGCACCGACGAAGCGUAAGUGACGGUAGGUGCAGAAGAAGGACCGGCCAACUACGUGCCAGCCGCCGCCGUAA
rnacentral:rRNA from 1 species